rnacentral:rRNA from 1 species
CGACCGGCGCACGGGUGAGUAACACGUAUGCAACCUGGCCGUGACAGAUGGAUAACCGGGAGAAAUCCCGCCUAAUACAACAUAAUGCCGGGAGGGGACAUCCCCUGCCGGUCAAAGGGGGCGACCCCGGUCAUGGAUGGGCAUGCGGCGCAUUAGGUAGUUGGUGGGGCAACGGCCCACCAAGCCGACGAUGCGUAGGGGUUCUGAGAGGAAGGUCCCCCACAUUGGUACUGAGACACGGACCAGACUCCUACGGGAGGCAGCAG